rnacentral:rRNA from 1 species
GGGCCCGCACAAGCGGUGGAGCAUGUGGUUCAAUUCGACGCAACGCGCAGAACCUUACCUGGUCUUGACAUCCUCGGAACCUGCCAGAGAUGGUGGGGUGCCCGCAAGGGAACCGAGAGACAGGUGCUGCAUGGCUGUCGUCAGCUCGUGUCGUGAGAUGUUGGGUUAAGUCCCGCAACGAGCGCAACCCUCGCCUUUAGUUGCCACGCAAGUGGAUCUCUAGAGGGACUGCCGGUGUUAAACCGGAGGAAGGUGGGGAUGACGUCAAGUCCUCAUGGCCUUUAUGACCAGGGCUACACACGUGCUACAAUGGCCGGUACAAAGCGCUGCCAACCCGCGAGGGGGAGCCAAUCGCAUAAAACCGGUCUCAGUUCAGAUUGGAGUCUGCAACUCGACUUCAUGAAGGCGGAAUCGCUAGUAAUCGUAGAUCAGCACGCUACGGUGAAUACGUUCCCGGGCCUU